rnacentral:rRNA from 1 species
UACGGAGGGUGCAAGCGUUGCUCGGAAUUAUUGGGCGUAAAGGGUAGGUAGGUGGUCUUAUUUGUCUGGGGUGAAAGCCUUGAGCUUAACUCAAGAAGUGCCCCAGAAACGGUAAGACUAGAGUCCUGGAGAGGGUCGUGGAAUUCCCGGUGUAGCGGUGAAAUGCGUAGAGAUCGGGAGGAACACCAGAGGCGAAAGCGGCGCACAGGACCACAACUGACGCUGAGGCGCGAAAGCUAGGGGAGCAAACAGG